rnacentral:rRNA from 1 species
UUAGCAUGGAAUAAUAGAAUAGGAUGUGUGGUUCUAUUUUGUUGGUUUCUAGGACCGCCGUAAUGAUUAAUAUGGAUAGUCGGGGGCAUCAGUAUUCAAUUGUCAGAGGUGAAAUUCUUGGAUUAAUUGAAGACUAGCUACUGUGAAAGCAUUGCCCAAGGAUGUUUUCAUUAAUCAGUGAACGAAAGUUAGGGGAUGGAAGACGAUCAGACACCGUCGUAGUCUUAACCAUAAAUUAUGCCGACUAGGGAUCGGUCGGGAUUCUUUUUUGACCCGUUCGGCACCCUCCGAGAAAUCAAAGUCUUUGGGUUGUGGGGGGAGUAUGGUCGCAAGGAUGAAACUUAAAGGAAUUGACGGAAGGGCACCCCCCGGAGUGGAGCGUGCGGCUUAAUUUGACUCAACACGGGGAAACUCACCAGGUCCAGACACACUAAGGAUUGACAGACUGAGAGCUCUUUCUUGAUCAUGUGGGUGGUGGUGCAUGCCCGUUCUUAGUUGGUGGAGUGAUUUGUUUGUUUAAUUGCGAUAACGAACGAGACCUUAACUUGCUAAAUAGCCAGGCCAGCUCUUGCCGGUCGCGGGCUUCUUAGAGGGACUAUCGGGUUCUAAACCGAUGGAAGUUUGAGGCAAUAACAGGUCUGUGAUGCCCUUAGAUGUUUUGGGCCGCACGCGCGCUACACUGACAGAGCCAACGAGUUCUUUACCUUGGCCGGAAGGUCUGGGUAAUCUUGUUAAACUCUGUCGUGCUGGGGAUAGAGCAUUGCAAU